rnacentral:rRNA from 1 species
UACAGAGGGUGCGAGCGUUGUCCGGAAUCACUGGGCGUAAGGGCGCGUAGGUGGCCCGACAAGUCCGUGGUGAAAGCUCGACGCUCAACGUCGAGUCGGCCAUGGAUACUGUUGGGCUGGAGCACUGUAGAGGCUCAUGGAAUUCCGGGUGUAGCGGUGGAAUGCGUAGAGAUCCGGAAGAACACCGGUGGCGAAGGCGGUGAGCUGGGCAGUUGCUGACACUGAGGCGCGACAGCGUGGGGAGCAAACAGG